UGGCCCCAAGUCACCGGCGCCUGCCAGGCUUCUGGUGCGAUGCCGUGUCCCGCCUGCCCGUUAAAUCUUGUGCAACGGCCACUGUGGGUAUCUACGCGCUAUUUCCAGCACACUGGCUUCCAGAUCCGAAUGAUGGGAAAGCAACACCCGCAGCGUCGUCUGCUGCCAAACAGAUGGGAGGAGAUCGAGAAACGCCUUUUGCUUCUCUGCCUUGAACUCCCCACGUCCCAGGCAGUGAAACACGCGGGCCCUGGCUCCCGACGUUUGUAUCCCGUACCCGCCUUGGGUGUCGUGUCUGUGGGACAGUCUGGGGUCAGAGCGGACACUGCCACACCAGCACGGAUCCGGACCGCAGCCUCCAUGGAGGAGGAGGAGUCAGGGAGACAGAUGGACAGACAACAGACACCAACCCGCACCGGCUCCCAGACCCGGGGCCCCCGCGUUGAGUCUGCUCUGCAUUUUUGGAUAUUUCUGGUCCAACCACAAAACAGCGUGAAUAACCCACGCGCCCGCGGAGGAAAAUGACAAGGCUGAAGAAGUGCUCGAUUUUUCUAACAAGUCAAGGUAGCAGCACCGGGAGGACAGACCCCAGAACAGCGGCUGCCUGAAGGGAAAGAAAUGCCACAGCCCUCGAGUGGAAGGGAGGUGACCUGGGUGUACACGUUUGUGCAAAAUCCACUCAACUGUUCUGGAGACGGGUUGCACAGCAGUGUGACGGUGCUUCCUGCCACUGAAGUGCACACUUAAAACCGGAUUGCAGCCUUUGCUGAAAUGUGAAUUACGCCGCAAGACUGCUUGUCUGCAUGCAGAGAGGCCGCGGGGCUCCAGGAGGACACGCUGGGCAGCACAGAGCAGUGUCCCCGCUGCCCCACAGGAUGGCCCCACCAGCUCCGUGGCCCAGAGCAACCCCCGCACCACCCCCUGUGGGAACGCGGACCGCAGGCACAGCUCAAACAGGACCACGGAGAGCGCCCUCCCGUGUCCCCGGACAGACAGAGGGAUGCACUUUCCCCAAAGACAAGCCCACUCACCUGCGAACGGUUUCUUCUGUGUGAGCACACCCCAGAUCACAAUGGCAAAGCUGCAAGGAAAAUCGGCCGGUUUUAAACCUGCAGCUGCCACCCUGCACGGAGCUGAGAGCGGCUACUGACAGAGAUGCGGGAAUUCUCCUUUGAAAACGAACGCAAGUCUGCAAGUCCAAGGGCUGAAGCUCUCAACUCCAAAGUAAACACAGAACCUCAUUCUCCCCAAACUCUACAAGCCGUGACUAGCCCCCGACGUGUCAUUCGCCAGCAGACGGACGGCUCAGAGCCCAGCUAGGCAGGCGCACAAUGGUCACCGUGAAACCAGUCUGCCAGGACUCCGGAUGCCGGUCAUGUCAAAAAGGCACAGCUGAUGGCUCUGGGGCUUCGGGUCACAGUCACCACGCAUGAGACAAGAGCCACAGAGAGGGGCUUAGGCACACGCUCCCUCCUCUCUUCUCCUCCAACUGGUCUGAGUAAGACCUUCGCAAUUUGGAAAAGGAAGGCGCCAACGACUUGGGGAUUAUUCUCAAGCACAUAAACCCCACCGACGCUGGUUUGCGAACAGCCCCCGAUGUGUCUGCAUUCCUCUGUCAAAGGGAGAGCCAGCCACUUCAAAAUAUCCGUGGUUCAAGAAAAUAAGCAUAAAUUCGACAUAAAAACAAUGGCAUCAAAAUGCACAUCAGAAAUCAUAAGUCUCUGAUGGCCGCUGACCCUCCCCCCGCUCCGGGUUCUCCCCCUGCCCUCUCCCACCCUCAGGGCCCUGGCAAUCCCAGGGUACGCAGAGUAUACAGCAAACGCCCUACAAGUUGCUCAUACAUCUUCACAUUCGGCAUCGGUCUCAGGGCCGCUCGGAGCUCAGUGCUCACAGGCACCCACAGGUGCUCCGGGGACAUGGGCCCUUCUCCUUCCAGGCCCAGCUGGACGAGACCAUAGAAGGGCACGAUCAGGGCUGUGCUGGCUAGAGAGACAGGCCGUUCAGACCACAGGAGAACAGGACCCUCAGGGUCCCUCUGGAUGUGGUCUGGGCAAACUGGACCAGAGGUAGCCUGAGAUUUUAAACUGAGCUAUUUCAGCAGGCACCCAGCUGGCUCAGUCAGUGGAACAUGCAAUUCUUGAUCUCAGGGUUGUGAGUUCAAGCCCCACAUUGGGUAU